UCAAGAUCAUGAUUGGCCAAAAGUAUGAGGAGAAAAAGGAGAAGGUGAAAAAAGAGCUGGAGAGUGCUGCUGCAGUGAGUCUAACGGCUGACAUGUGGACUUCAAUCGACAUGGAGGCAUACCUGGCUGUAACCUGUCACUACAUCCACAGUGAGACUCAUACAAUGUCUACAUCAGUGUUAGGAGUGGAACACUUUCCCCAGCUGCACACUGCUGAAAAUCUGGCCCAAGCUAAGCAAAAAAUAACGGAAGAUUGGGCCAUAGCAGAGAAAGUGAGAUGUCUAGUCACAGAUGCAGCAGCAAACAUGAAGGCAUGUGCCAGAAAGCUCCACAUUAGACACACAAUUUGCAUAGCUCACUCAUUGAACUUAACAGUCAGGAAAUCAUGUGACAAAAUUGAGACACUCACAGGUAUUCGUAACAAAACAAAGCAGAUUGUAACAUACUUUCGAACAAGUACCACGGCCAAAGAGAAGCUGGGACAAGUCCAGCUACAGAUGGGAUCACCAGUGAAGAAAUUAAUUAAUGAGGUGUCAACUAGAUGGAACAGCACAUAUUUAAUGCUGGAACGCAUGGUGGAGCUGAAGGAAUCAAUGAUGGUAUCUCUGGCCUCUUUAAAUAGUGAAAUACCUCCUCUAACUACACAGGAUUUUGAAACCAUACAGGAGACUCUCCAUGUGCUUGCUCCAUUUCACCAAGCAACAGUGGAGCUGUCAGAGGAGAAAAGAGUGAGUGGAUCAAAAGUCAUUCCUAUGCUUAAAAUGCUGCACCACUCAUUGCAACGCAACGCAGUCAGUAUGACAACAGAAACUGCAAAGACUUUGGUGGAAAACCUUAACAAAAGACUUACAGAAACUGUGUGCGGCCUUGAGUCAUCAAGUGUGAUGACUUAACCAACACUGCUGGAUCCUUGGUUCAAGAAAAUGGGGUUUGUGAGUGAGUGCAAAGCCAAUGAAGCAGUGAAAAAACUUAAGUCAGAGUGUGCUGCAGAAAUGAGAAGGAGCACUGUGCCAAUACUAAUGGAUGAUGCCCAGGCUGGACCUUCAACACAACCACCUGCUCCCAAUGACAACCUGUGGGAGCUGCUAGACAUGGAAGUCUGGGACAGCAGAGCCAACUCAAGUGCCACCACAGAUUCUGUUAUUGAAGUGAAGAGAUAUCUGUCUGAGGUUAACACUCCCCGCUCACAAGAUCCACUUCAGUACUGGAAAUCACAAAGGGAAGACUACCCUCACUUGUACAGACUUGCAAUGAAAUGUCUCUGUACACCGUCUUCAUCAGUGCCCUGUGAAAGGGUGUUCUCCAAAGCAGGAGAAAUAGUUUCCAAGCGACGUAAUCGCCUUGGCCCUAAGAUGUUACAGCAGCUGAUGUUUCUGAAUAAAAAUGUAUGAAAGA